AGUCGACGAUGAAUCUUCUAGCUUGCUAGAAGUGGAUUAGUGGCGCACGGGUGAGUAAUGCAUAGGUUAUGUGCCCUUUAGUCUGGGAUAGCCACUGGAAACGGUGAUUAAUACUGGAUACUCCCUACGGGGGAAAGUUUUUCGCUAAAGGAUCAGCCUAUGUCCUAUCAGCUUGUUGGUGAGGUAAUGGCUCACCAAGGCUAUGACGGGUAUCCGGCCUGAGAGGGUGAUCGGACACACUGGAACUGAGACACGGUCCAGACUCCUACGGGAGGCAGCAGUAGGGAAUAUUGCUCAAUGGGGGAAACCCUGAAGCAGCAACGCCGCGUGGAGGAUGAAGGUUUUAGGAUUGUAAACUCCUUUUGUUAGAGAAGAUUAUGACGGUAUCUAACGAAUAAGCACCGGCUAACUCCGUGCCAGCAGCCGCGGUAAUACGGAGGGUGCAAGCGUUACUCGGAAUCACUGGGCGUAAAGAGUGCGUAGGCGGGGUAAUAAGUCAGAUGUGAAAUCCUGUAGCUUAACUACAGAACUGCAUUUGAAACUGUUACUCUGGAGUGUGGGAGAGGUAGGUGGAAUUCUUGGUGUAGGGGUAAAAUCCGUAGAGAUCAAGAGGAAUACUCAUUGCGAAGGCGGCCUGCUGGAACAUUACUGACGCUGAUGCACGAAAGCGUGGGGAGCAAACAGGAUUAGAUACCCUGGUAGUCCACGCCCUAAACGAUGGAUGCUAGUUGUUGCCUUGCUUGUCAGGGCAGUAAUGCAGCUAACGCAUUAAGCAUCCCGCCUGGGGAGUACGGUCGCAAGAUUAAAACUCAAAGGAAUAGACGGGGACCCGCACAAGCGGUGGAGCAUGUGGUUUAAUUCGAAGAUACGCGAAGAACCUUACCUAGGCUUGACAUUGAUAGAAUCUACU
rnacentral:rRNA from 1 species